CUUAGAAUCUCAUAUAGUUUCAUUUUCUCUUGCUGUUUGAAUGUUUUGAAGUGCUCGUGACCGUCGUUGCACACAUAUUGCAUUCAUGCCAUCAUAUCUUGCGGUGCUUGUAUCUUUUGAUCCGUAGCUCUGUUGGAGAUGUUCUUUAUGUGUAGAUUUCUUGCCUUGACGCGUAGAAUCACGAGAACCUAUUUGUUUUGCUGUUUAACUACUAAUUAAAUGUGUUAAUUCAGAUCUGGACAGAAUUGUAAAUUAACAUGUGAGGUCUUCUCGGAGAUGAUAUAUGUCAUUUCCGACCUCAUUUAAAAUGCCUAGAUAGGUAGCUUAAUUUCCGUUUCACCUCUUGCAUGUUUGACAACAUUAAUAUUGUCGUGUAGAUAACCGGGA
rnacentral:lncRNA from 1 species